rnacentral:rRNA from 1 species
AUUGAACGCUGGCGGCAGGCUUAACACAUGCAAGUCGAGCGGAGAUGAGGUGCUUGCACCUUAUCUUAGCGGCGGACGGGUGAGUAAUGCUUAGGAAUCUGCCUAUUAGUGGGGGACAACAUUCCGAAAGGGAUGCUAAUACCGCAUACGUCCUACGGGAGAAAGCAGGGGAUCUUCGGACCUUGCGCUAAUAGAUGAGCCUAAGUCGGAUUAGCUAGUUGGUGGGGUAAAGGCCUACCAAGGCGACGAUCUGUAGCGGGUCUGAGAGGAUGGUCCGCCACACUGGGACUGAGACACGGCCCAGACUCCUACGGGAGGCAGCAGGGGGGAAUAUUGGACAAUGGGGGGAACCCUGAUCCAGCCAUGCCGCGUGUGUGAAGAAGGCCUUAUGGUUGUAAAGCACUUUAAGCGAGGAGGAGGCUACUGAGACUAAUACUCUUGGAUAGUGGACGUUACUCGCAGAAUAAGCACCGGCUAACUCUGUGCCAGCCGCCGCCGUAAGAC